CCGAGUGGAGGGCCCUCUGGGUCAACCUCCCACCCGUGUUUAUUUUACCUUGUUGCUUCGGCGGGCCCGCCUUAACUGGCCGCCGGGGGGCUUACGCCCCCGGGCCCGCGCCCGCCGAAGACACCCUCGAACUCUGUCUGAAGAUUGUAGUCUGAGUGAAAAUAUAAAUUAUUUAAAACUUUCAACAACGGAUCUCUUGGUUCCGGCAUCGAUGAAGAACGCAGCGAAAUGCGAUACGUAAUGUGAAUUGCAAAUUCAGUGAAUCAUCGAGUCUUUGAACGCACAUUGCGCCCCCUGGUAUUCCGGGGGGCAUGCCUGUCCGAGCGUCAUUUCUGCCCUCAAGCACGGCUUGUGUGUUGGGCCCCGUCCUCCGAUCCCGGGGGACGGGCCCGAAAGGCAGCGGCGGCACCGCGUCCGGUCCUCGAGCGUAUGGGGCUUUGUCACCCGCUCUGUAGGCCCGGCCGGCGCUUGCCGAUCAACCCAAAUUUUUAUCCAGGUUGACCUCGGAUCAGGUAGGGAUACCCGCUGAACUUAAGCAUAUCAAAGCCCGGGAGGAUUACC
rnacentral:rRNA from 1 species